rnacentral:lncRNA from 11 species
AUGGUUCAUAUCCCUGCUGGCUUGUCCAAAAAGGUUUGCCAUCAGAUUUUAUGUCAUAUGGAAGGCAACAAAAUAAAAUGUCGAUUCCCUAUGAAAAAUAUUCUGUGGAUAUUUGAAGAUGAAAAUGACUCUGAAGUGACAGGAAGAUUGAAAUGAAUGGUACUUAUUGGCGGAUACAUUUCUGAGUGUGUAAUUCCCACCUAUUCCCUGUGUUAUGAUCUGUUCUUAAUAAAUAUGACUUACGGCAUGCCU